GACGCAGCUCACGCAGCUACUCGGAGAAGAGCCGUGAUCAUCAGAGAGCUCCAAAGAAGACAGAGAAAGCCAGAGUUUGUGCCCUGCGUUUAUCAAAUCUAUGAGUUGGGACUCCUCAGUGGCCAUACUGGAGGUGUUUCCAGCUGGAGUUGCGAGAGCGAAUUGGAGAAACACUGCCCUCAUCGUGAAGCAAUGUAUGUGAAAGAAAGAUGAGAGAGGUAUUCAUUGUAAGUGUCUUGCAACAGCAACACACCUUAGGAGUAGGACAUGGUUCGUGAAGGGCACAAAGCCCUUGCGUAUAAUGUUUAUGACUCUGGAUGGAUGGUUCAGAGGGUAAAAGGAUGGUUCAUAUGUUGUUCUUGAGCUAGUACUGAAAUGGUCUCAUGUUCAUUAGACCCAUUAUAAUAGCAUUUGCUGCUGCUGCCAUGAGACCUAAAUGUCUCUGAAUUUGGAAGAGUGAUAAGCCUAUUCUGAUACCACUUGUGGCAGUAAAAAUCAAAUCCACACAUGCAGGUGACAAUUGUGCCCGCAUUUUGGUUAAGUCCUAUACCACCACUAGAAAGGAGGUUCUCAGAUUGGGUGAUAGCAUACUCUUCUUAAGAAUUAACCUUCCCACACACUUCAUGAAAAGAAGCCAGUAUGCUUCGUCCCCAAAAGCAAACCUAUAGGAACUUUCUAAUGAGUGGGUCAAUUUGUUCAGUGCCCUGAAACAGCUUGCUUGCAGGGAACAACUGAACACAUUUGACUGGGGACUCAUUGAGAGGGGGAUGCCUAUGUCUAGAGGGGCCUGCUGCCCUAUCAACCUUACGUGUCUUGAUAUCUUCUCAAUAGGGAAGCAGGUUGUUGCUGCCCAAAACACAAACAAGGUGGGUUAGCGAAACAGCCCCUUUCUGUUAUUGUUUUUCUUCAUUAACCCCAUCAAACUUUAACCACGUACAACUCCAUAUUAUCAGCUUAUUGGACAGACAGUAGUUGGAAGCCAUCUGCUUGGUGGCACAUAAGGCCAGAGUUGUGGCCCAAAACAUGGAUACAAAUUCCAGUCACUCUGUAUACAGAAAGCUUAGUCGUUAUUUUAGGUAAUAAUUUUUUUAUUUUCUUUUUUCCAUUAAAACUCUUUCCAUAUUCAUAAAGUAGUUGUAUGUGUCAGACUUUGUCUCUGUGUCUUGUGUUUCCCCUCCUCUCGUGCCCUUAUUUGGUGUCAUCAUUAGUUUAUUAGUCCCAAGCUUUGUGUCAUUAAUUAUCUAGUUUCACCCAGUGUUUAUAAGCCCUGUGUUUCCCUGCCUCAGUGUCCGGUCUGAUCAUUUUAUGGUCUUUGUUCUGUGUCUCCAGCGAUCCCUGAGUUUGUCUAAAUAAAGUUAAUGAUUGAAGAAGUUCCUUGCCUCCUCGUUUCCCUGGCUCCAGAACGUUUGUGACAGUAUGUUGCAUUUUACAUAUAGCAUACUUUAUACAUCAUUGAAGUAAACAAUGUAUAAUCCAUACUUAGGAUAGAUAUAGAUGAUUUUUUUCAUCUAUCAGUGUUAUAACGACCUCCAUUAAUUGUUAUAGUGUCAUAAUACUCAUUAAUUGUAAUUAUAUGAGAAAACUGAUCAUUUUUGCACAGUUUUCAUUAAAAUUCAUAUCUGUGAAAGCCACAGGAUGUGACAUUUGGAAUUAUUACAGGGUUACAACAGACACAAGGCAGGAAUAACACAAGUACCACAUGCAGCGGUAUAGGCCAAUAAGAUUGGAUGGUAUUAGCAGCUGAAAUGUAAUUGGCUGUUAGCAGCCAUGCUUUUUGGUUUGUAUUUUGUUUUUUGUUUGUUUGUGCUGCUGCUUCUUUCUUGCAAGAUUUUUAUUUGCAUUGCCCAUUCACAAAACCCCAAUACAUGCUGUGGUGAUGUGUUCUGUUAGAUUAUUGUCAUUUGGGCUUGUAUUUCAUAUUAUACACAUUAUUUAGUCUUAUAUUUGUUAAUGUGGUUGUGUUUGAAAAUGUAAAAUCAGCUAUUUGUAACUUUUACAUUUGUUCAGUUAAGUACAAUGUAUUACAAUGAUUUUUUUUUUUUAAAUCAAUCAAUCCAUCAAUCAAUCAAUUCACCAACCCUGAUGGAAAAGAAGCCCAAAUUAAUGAAAUGCUAAUGUAAAACAGCUUUAUUCUGACAGAACUCAUAGGUGCUGCCACCAAGUGUUAGUUUGUGAACAGUAACUUCAUAGAUUCUGUGUCUUAAGUUUAAAGGGUUCAUUGGAUAUGACAUGCACUUUUGCAAGCUAUUUUAACUGAAAUGUGUGUUGGCAGUGUGUGUACUCAACCACGCUAUAAUGAUAAAGAUCUACCCAGUGUUUUUUUGUUUUGUUUUGUUUUUUUAAUCUCGUUAAAUCAUUACCCCUUUCUCAGUUCGAGCCGAUCUCAGAUGCCUGUUUGUAUGACGUCACACAGACCCAGGCCCUCCCAUGAUUGUUUGAUUGACACUAACGUUUCAGCACAGACUGGACUGGAGUCUUACCUUAGACCCGCCCUGAGUGAGCUGUCAUCAGUCCGCCACUGUUUCG